rnacentral:pre_miRNA from 1 species
GGGGGGGGGGGCGGGUUCCUCAGCCUGGAUUGCAAGAGGGAGCAGGCCAGGCCAAGGGACUCAACCCGUGCACG